AAGGGAUAGCCCAGAGAAAUUUGGAUUAAUACCUUAUAGUAUCUUAAGUGAGCAUUCACUAAGGAUUAAAGAUUUAUUGCUAUAAGAUGACUAUGCGUUCUAUUAGCUAGUUGGUAUGGUAACGGCAUACCAAGGCUACGAUAGAUAGGGGUCCUGAGAGGGAGAUCCCCCACACUGGUACUGAGACACGGACCAGACUCCUACGGGAGGCAGCAGUGAGGAAUAUUGGACAAUGGAGGCAACUCUGAUCCAGCCAUGCCGCGUGUAGGAAGACUGCCCUAUGGGUUGUAAACUACUUUUAUAGAGGAAGAAACCAUCUCACGUGUGAGAUGCUGACGGUACUCUACGAAUAAGGAUCGGCUAACUCCGUGCCAGCAGCCGCGGUAAUACGGAGGAUCCAAGCGUUAUCCGGAAUCAUUGGGUUUAAAGGGUCCGUAGGCGGGUUUGUAAGUCAGUGGUGAAAGUUUUCGGCUCAACCGGAAAAUUGCCAUUGAUACUGCAAGUCUUGAAUUAUUGUGAAGUGGUUAGAAUGUGUAGUGUAGCGGUGAAAUGCAUAGAUAUUACACAGAAUACCGAUUGCGAAGGCAGAUCACUAACAAUUAAUUGACGCUAAGGGACGAAAGCGUGGGUAGCGAACAGGAUUAGAUACCCUGGUAGUCCACGCCGUAAACGAUGGUUACUAGCUGUUCGGACUUCGGUCUGAGUGGCUAAGCGAAAGUGAUAAGUAACCCACCUGGGGAGUACGUUCGCAAGAAUGAAACUCAAAGGAAUUGACGGGGGCCCGCACAAGCGGUGGAGCAUGUGGUUUAAUUCGAUGAUACGCGAGGAACCUUACCAGGGCUUAAAUGUAGAUUGACAGGUUUAGAGAUAGACUUUCCUUCGGGCAAUUUACAAGGUGCUGCAUGGUUGUCGUCAGCUCGUGCCGUGAGGUGUCAGGUUAAGUCCUAUAACGAGCGCAACCCCUGUUGUUAGUUGCCAGCGAGUGAUGUCGGGAACUCUAGCAAGACUGCCGGUGCAAACCGCGAGGAAGGUGGGGAUGACGUCAAAUCAUCACGGCCCUUACGUCCUGGGCCACACACGUGCUACAAUGGUAGGUACAGAGAGCAGCCACUGGGUGACCAGGAGCGAAUCUAUAAAGCCUAUCACAGUU
rnacentral:rRNA from 1 species